CUCUUAUCGAGAGCGGCGGAGGGACUAGGCCCUUUGAUGCCCGGCAACCUUCAAGCAUUUUGCUUGAAAAGGUGCUAAUUCCUACAGAUCCUUUAAAGAUCUGAAAGAUAAGGG
rnacentral:ncRNA from 2 species